GCUGUGGCCCCCGGGAGAGCCUUCCUGUGCCUGCUGGAGGCAGACCAGUUGACUGGAGCCCGCCCAAGGAACACCAGCAGUGGACGCCAGGUCCAGGGCAGGGCUGCGGGCACAGAGCCGUGGGCUACCCUGCUCAUUGGUGGAAACAGGACAAGCUGUGCGGGACAGGUCGGCCCAGCCACCACACUGACCACUGGCACGAGAACUCCGACUCUCACACCCCACUGUGGACCCGUCAUGCAGUGCCUCAGGGCAAGAAGUCAGAUAGGAGCAAAUUGAAGUGUGGUCUCUGACAGGGACCCAGCAGAGCCCCGGGCCAAACAGCUCCGCCUCCUCAGGGCUACCCUCGAUCUGAAGAUGCGCUUCAAACAGUGUCCACCCAAAAGACUCCAGGACGGCCUUACGGGUUUGGGGUGACGGGAGCAGCCAGUCUUCACAAGAAGCCCAGGUGUGGCCUCAUCGUCAGGCUCUACCCACAGCAGAUUUGCAAGACAGACAGCUCCCGUCCCCGCCACACUAACCACCUCCCACCCAGAGGCCAGGCAGGAGUGGAGUGUGGAGAGUGCAUCGGGUGGGAGGAAUCAAAGCCCCAGGAACCUAAGCCAGAAGAGCCACACCUUCACAGCCCCCCAGACACGAUCAAGGCCCCCCACCUUGCCUGAAUACAGCUCAGCCAUCAUGCCCUGCUGGCAGUCCUGAGACUCCACGCCCCUCAGGGCACAGACCCCACAAGCCUGUGGAGUCCGUGUGACAACAAGGGCCUGGUCAAAGAUGGUCCUGGUGGCCUCGGAGUUCACAGGCUCAUGUUCCACACGUUCCUUCCACGGGCUGGGGGCUCCCGCAGGGCGGGACCACGGGCUUCCUUCCAGCCGUACACACUAGGGCCCUUCGGGGCACACGGGUCACUGAUCACCCAUCAAGAGCCAGGACGGAGAGAAAGCAAAUGCCAGGUAAGGGAGGUUUCGGAGACAGACAUGCGGCCUCACCAGUGGACCAGGGCGCCCCAGCCACAACUGGCUGGGAAAAGGAGCUAGCCAAUGAACCCCCACCUGAGCAAUGCCCGAGUCCUCGCUGACUCCCCAAAGCCCGUGCGAGAAAGCAGCAGGGUCUUGGACUCUAGCUUUUCUGGCAGGGACGGAGACUGAAACAAGGUCUCAGCCAGACGCUUCUGAGAGGGAAGAGCCUGCUUCCAGAGGGUGACAAGUGCCGCCUGGUGGGGCUGGUGCCCGGGGUCCUGCACCAGGGCCGCCAGAGAAGCGUGUCCUGAGCCUCGGGCGCCGGCCACACACCCCCCCAGCCCCCCAGGGACCACUGCUGCCA